rnacentral:misc_RNA from 1 species
UGAGUCGCGACUUCACUACGUACAAGUGUGCUGUGGCCUUGAUAGGCAGAGCCGCCCUACGCGAACUAAAUAAAAAUGGUGGCCGCCGUGGUCUCCGGAGACAUUUGGACCGAGCAGGGAAACAAUCCGGCCCGAGAACGAAUCUAAAGAAAUUCGGAAACCGUCAAUCGUUCAAGUUCCAGGUGAGGAAUUGUGUAUCAGGGCCGUAAACAUCGCUAUCUGAACCUCGUUCGAUCUCCGUCAUCACGUUGGCCGCGGGCGCCCAAAAAACGACCGUCGUCGCCUCGAUGUUAUGGGUGUGCAUAUCUAUCACAUGAAUUUCAACGUAUGCAAUGAUAACCCGAAACAGAACGGCUACAAAUAUGACACCGCCAACGUACUCAUCGUUCGACACUACACGUUUGAUCUCAUUUGUGUUUUGAAAUAUACAAGUUACAACGAAAACGAUCAAAAGUGAAACAAAUUGAAGAAAAAUGUCGAACGACCGACAUAUUGUUCAAGUUUACGUUGGAGCCCUUUCGGCGUACUACGAAGCCCUUUCAGUUGAAGCAAGUAAACAAACAACAGCGGAUGAAAUCGUCUCGUGUAUCGUUGAAAGGCUAUCUUUGAAUGAAAAUCCUCGCGGUACUUAUGAACUUGCUGAAGUCAUCGGGGAUUCUUCUGGACAAGAAUGUAAAGAACGUUGUUUAUUGCCGAAUGAAAGUCCGGUACAGUUAAUGUUAUUAUGGCCGAAAAUGCGCUCGGACAAUUCGUGUUAUCGGUUUUAUUUGCGUGAAAAAGUGAACGAUUACGUAUGGAGGGACAGUUUUGUGAUGGAUCCUCAAUUAAUCAAAGACUAUUUUCAUCGAUUUUUAUACCAACCAAAAGAUAGGGAAUACCCGGAUUUAUGUCAACUACCCGAUUUAAACGAACAAACUUUACUUGACAAUUUAAGAGCUCGAUUUACAGCUGGUCAUAUAUACACGUACGUUGGUUCAAUCUUAAUCGCUGUUAAUCCGUUUAAAUUUUAUCCAAUUUAUAAUCCAAAGUAUGUGAAAUUGUAUCAAAAUCGUCGAUUAGGCCCAAAUUUACCACCUCAUAUUUUCGCAGUAGCCGAUACUGCGUAUCAUUGUAUGUUAAAAGAUCGUAAGAACCAGUGUAUUGUUAUUAGCGGGGAAAGCGGAUCCGGAAAAACAGAAAGCACUAAUUUUUUAUUACACCAUUUAACGGCUUUAUCUCAAAAAGGAACGCACGGCAGUGGAGUUGAACAAACUAUUUUAUCGGCCGGACCUGUUUUAGAAGCCUUUGGAAAUGCGAAAACUGCUCAUAAUAAUAAUUCGAGUCGUUUCGGAAAAUUUAUUCAGGUUAAUUAUAAAGAAAACGGGAUGGUUCAUGGAGCCGUAGUUCAAAAAUAUUUAUUGGAAAAAUCUCGGAUUUGCACUCAAGGUCGAAACGAAAGAAACUAUCAUGUAUUUUAUUACCUUCUCGAAGGAGCCACAGAACAAGAAAAACAAUUAUUACAUUUAAAACCACCUGAUCAAUACAACUAUUUAAAUAUGAGUGGUUGUUACACCCUUGAUAACGUCGAUGAGAGUUACGAAUUUUCCCGAUUAAAACAAUCAAUGGAAAUGGUUGGGUUUACAGCGGAAAAACAACGUAGAUUAUUUUCAGUUCUUUCCGCCGUUCUUCUCCUCGGAAACGUUGAAUUUCAACCAAGAAAAUCAGCUUACCACCACGACGAAGCCGUGGCUGUAAAAAACCCGGAAGUAGUUUCGUUAAUUUCCGAAUUAUUAAAAGUAAAACAAGAAACACUUCUUCAAGCUUUAACUUGUAAAAAAGCCAAAGCUUCCGGUGAAGUUUUAAUCAUUAAUUAUCGACUUCCUGAAGCGAUUGCAAGUCGGGAUGCGAUGGCUAAAUGUUUAUAUGGAGCCCUUUUCGAUUGGAUCGUUCUCCAAGUUAAUCACGCUUUAUUAUCAAAAAAAGAUACUUUGAGGGAACAUCAGGGAAAUUCAAUAGGGGUUUUAGACAUUUUUGGUUUUGAAGAUUUCGGGUUGUGUAAUAGUUUUGAACAAUUGUGUAUUAAUUAUGCUAACGAACAUCUUCAAUACUAUUUUAAUCAACACGUUUUUAAAUACGAACAAGAGGAGUAUCGAAAGGAGGGUAUUCGUUGGACUAACAUUGAUUUUAUGGACAAUACUGGGUGUUUGCAAUUGAUUGAAGGAAAACCAAAUGGGUUAUUGUGUUUAUUGGAUGAUCAAUGCAAUUUUCCUGGUGCAACAAACGAAACCCUCCUUCAAAAAUUCAACACGGUCCAUAAAGAUAGCAAGUUUUACCAAAAACCUCAAAAACGCGAAGGGGCUUUCAUCGUGGUUCAUUACGCCGGAAAGGUUAAAUACCAAGUUUCAGAUAUGCGCGAGAAAAACUUGGAUUUAAUGCGACAAGACAUCGUUGGGGUGUUAAAGAACAGCUCGAUGGCGUUUGUUCGUGAAUUGGUUGGAGCUGAUCCGGUGGCUGUGUUUCGUUGGGCCAUCGUUCGAGCUUUUUUCCGGGCGUAUUUUGCUUUCCAUGAGGCUGGAAGAAAACAUCGCCAAGGAAGAGUUGAUGGGAAUAAGAAUAAUAUUCAACAAAGAUAUAGUAGGAAUCAUGUCCCCAAUGAAAACAUUAUAAGCUAUCUUGUGACCGUUUCUGCGGUGAACCUAACCGUUAACAGAAUUGCGAAAAACAAAUCAUUCCGACCUCGAGAACGUGCAAAAAAGGGCUUAAAAAAUCUCCAAUCCGUAAAAACGUUAGCUGGAAGAACCGGAUUAACAACCGGAAGUCAACGCACAACCAGAAAGCAAUACUUAACUGUAACAGCCCAAUUUCAACAAUCGUUACAUUCCUUAAUGGAUACCCUAAAUCAAGCAAACCCAUUUUUUAUUCGUUGCAUAAAAUCAAACAGCAACAAAAUUCCGAAUGAAUUCGAUAAUGAAACGGUACAAAGACAAUUAAGAUACACUGGGAUGUUGGAGACGGUUCGAAUUCGACGUGCAGGUUUUAACGUGCGCGUUACAUACGACGAAUUCAUCCAACUUUAUCGAAUUUUAUUACCCAAAGGACUAUUAAGCUCCCAAAUUGACGUGAGAAAUUUCUUGUAUACAUUAAAUUUAAAUAGAGAUAAUUACCAAUUGGGAUGUAGCAAGAUCUUUUUGCGUGAAUCUGAAAAGUAUAAACUCGAUUGUAAAUUGCAUCAACAAAUUAUGGCCAGUAUCGUUACGUUACAACGUUGGUUCCGUGCCACGUUAGAACGACGUCGAUAUUUAAGGAUACGAAACUCUGUUAUCUUGUUACAAUCAUAUUGUCGGAUGUAUUUAGUUCAAAAAUACGUAAGGACCAUUAACGCUGCGAUUAAAAUACAGAAAACAUGGAGGGGGUAUAAAGCGAGAAAUUGGGUGCAAAAACUUAAAAAGGGUUUGAUUGCGUUCCAAGCGGGUUGUCGAGGGUAUUUAGCGAGGAAAAGUUUGAUGGAGGCUAAGAAUCGAAUUUCAAAAACGCAGAAAUUUCUUCCGAAACCUAGUGAUGUUGGAAGCAGUAUUGGAAGUAUGGAUGAUGCAUUUUCAAGCAAAGAAUCGAGUCGGGAGAGAUUAGAUUUCGAUUUGAAGGAUAGGAUGAGAAUUCGGGAUUCGGAUGAGAGUAGUGGAAUAUUAGAAGAUUUGGGUUCGGAAUUAUCACAAUCAAAAUUAUCUUUAAGAUCAACUUUAUCAUUACCAGCUGUUCCAUCAACUCCAAGUCCUUACUUACAAAGAUUUGAAGAUAGAAAAGCGGAAAGCGUUACAUUAGACACACAACGUCGUACUCAGCAAGAAGAAAAAUAUAAAGGCUCCUCAGACUCCUUAAGCUCUCAACGUUCGUUUGAUUCAUCCGAUUUAAUUUCGAUUUUGGGAAAUUAUUCAGUUCCGCACCCCUUAGAAGAUAAUAAAUAUUCGAAAUUUGAAAACACGGACGUUUGGAAACCAAGGAUUCAAAAGCAGCCAGCUUUAACGCAAGUCGCCGCGACUUAUAACGUAACUUCCGGGAGAUGGGACCGAAAUACGGGGGGGUUAGUUAGUUUGCCCCCUGUGAGAAGACCCAGUAGAGAUGCAGCAACCAUCGAUUUUUCCGCUGAAAGAACCCCAACGAAAGCAGAGGAGAUCUUGGGGAAACCAAAAGUACCAUUAAGAAGUCAACGAAAACAACCAAAAAGAAGUCACGUUAGGAGUUUAGGGGAAGAAGUUACCGAUGGAAGUUUAUUAGACAAAAAUGUUGCUUUAAAAACGAUCGAAGAAACUACUCCACCUCAAAGCCAAAAAGAACAAGUUAACAAAUUCAUUCAACACGAGGAAGAAUGGGGAAAACAAUACGUAACUCACACUCCAAAACGUCAAAAAUCGGCGUUAAACUCCUUCGAUUUGCGCCGAAGAAACAGUGAUCCAGCAACAAAAUCAAAUUUAGUUACAGAGCAUCAUCCGGAAGGUGGGGGUUCUUCCCCAAAAUGCCAAGACGAACCCGAAUGGCAAAAUCAAACCACUUUUACAAUGGGGGGACACACAUUUCGAAAAACUAAAACGUUUUCAAAAGAUGAUGCGUGUUCAUUUUGUAACAAUUUAAUAGAUGCUUUUGCAAUGCAAGGGUAUAAAUGCGCGAAUUGCAAAAAAAUUUUCCACACAAAAUGCAUACAAAACAAAAGCGUCCUAAAAAUACCUUGCGAAAACAAAUUAGUCUCCGAAAACAAUAAAUCCGGGCGAAGAAAAUACCGCAAACACUCAAAAGCUCCGUAUGACUUAUCAAAACCCGGUUACACAAACAAAUUUAGCGUAACAAAUACGUCAGAAUUCACCGAUCGAGCCGAUCAAAUAAUAAGCGACACAAAAGAAUUACAAAGAAUGCAAGAUUUUAUCACAAGCAAAAUUUGUAAAAUUGAAACCGACGCCGCGGGGAAACCCAGCGAAGUCGAUCGAGUUUUUAAAUUAGCUUUACGCGAAUUUAAAGACAAUUUAGUUCAAGUUUAUAGCGCCGCAAAUCGCAACUCCGAAGCUUACAGCAUAAAAUACAAAGAUUUAAUAAUGAAUUUCAUCCAAGCGAUGGAAACUGUUUGUCAAAGGGAAAAAACCGAAAACGAUUUCCCCGUAACGAUGGGAGUAAACGCUUUCCGCGGAUUUAUGAACGAAUUUAUGCAAAGUCGACCAGAAGCUGAAAAACCGGGUAAAGUAAAACGAAAAAAAGAGAAAAAACGUAAAGUCGACGAUUUAAUUAAAUAUUACGGGCACACAUUUUUAUUAACAAUAAUAAAUAUCCCAACAGCUUGCGAAAUUUGUAAUUCAUUUUUUAUGUGGCCAUUAGAAAGAGGAUUAGUUUGCCAAUCGUGCAAAUUAACGUGUCACAAAAAAUGUUACACAAGAACGACGAAUUGCGCUAAAGACGAUAGCGUUAAUUCCCAAGACGAUGGGUGGAAAUUAUUUGGGGUUCCAUUAACAACGUUAUUAAACGACGAAUCGACAAUUCCCGUUGUAAUUGAAAGAUUAUUAGCAGCAAUCGAAAUGAGGGGGUUAUACAUAGAAGGGAUUUAUAGAAAAAGCGGUGUUAGUUCGAAAGUAAAAGAGCUUAAAAAUAAAAUGGAAGAAAACCCCGAAAUCGUCGAUUUUGAUAGUUAUCAAAUUCACGUUUUAGCGUCAGUUUUAAAAUCAUUUUUUCGUGAAAUGCCCGAACCUUUACUCACAUUCGAAUGUUACGAGAAUUUUAUAACAGCCGCGCAUAUGGCGGAUCCUCAAGAUCGCGUUUCAACCCUUUACGAUAUCUUAAAAAAAUUACCGAAACCUAAUUUUGAUUUAAUGGAACGUUUAGUUUUUCAUUUAGCAAGAGUUGCGAUACACGAGGAUAGUAAUCGAAUGUCAACGGCUUCUUUAGCGAUCGUUUUCGCACCUUGUAUCUUAAGAACGAACAAAAUUGUUCCCGCCCAAGAUAGUUUACACGACAUCAGCAGUCAAACGCAAUGUAUUGAAACGAUUAUUUCGGAACAAUUAAGAAAGGUAAAAAAUACCCUUGAUGAUAUUGAUACUUUAGAUACGGCGAUGCAAGCUGUAACGAAACGACUGACAUCAUUAAGACGUUCGAAAGUGUAUUCACCCGAAGAGUUAUUACCAUCUGAUGAUCAAACGUCGCCGGGAAAUGUUGAAGAGGAAGAAAAUUUAUUAGAUCAUAUACAAGAGAUACAAAAAGAACAAGAACAUUUAACAUCAACUUUACCGACGUUAUCACAUACAUCUGACGAUGAUAUGUUAUCAACCGAUGGUGAUGGUAGUUUGGAUGAUGUUUCUAGUGUAAGUGAAAAGAAAAGUGGUCAAAGAAGCGGAGGAGGCCCCCCACCGGUUGUAAGAUCAAUUUCAAGUGGCGAUGCCGCAAGACAAUCAUUAAAUCAGAAAUUAAAAAGGCAGUCAUCGUCGGAUGUGAGCGUUAAAAUAGUCGAUGAGGGUGAGGAUGCUCCUAUUAUGAUUCGAGAGGGUUGUUUAAACACGUGUAAUAAAUGUAAAUUUUGUUUUGUUAAUUGUUGUUCUCUCUCUGGGAUCGAAUGAAGCGAAACGAAAAGAUUUUAUUUAACAAACUCUAUAUUCACGUUGAAAAUGAAAAUGUUUUGGAUUGAAAUUAUUGGAUAUAAACCGGAAAACCCUACCAUAAUAAACUACUAUAAACAAAUUACAAAAAAAAAAGAAAAUUCUCAAUACAAGAUAUUUAUUCUUCUAUAUACACAUUAAUUGUUGAUAUAUAAAUAAAAAAAAUGUAUAUUAAUAUAAAGAAGUAAUUGGAUUGGUGCGAAAUUAACUUGGAAGAAAAUGGGAUGGAGUUGGGCUUGAACUUAAAAUGUUAAAAUAAAAUGUUAAGAAUGAUUUAAGGAAGAGCCCGAAAUGUGUAAUGUAAAAAAAAAAGAAAGACUAUAACUGUACGUUGUUUCCUAUAAACAUAUUAUAAAAAUAUAUAAAUUAUUAUUAAAAUAAAAUUUAAUUAACAAUAAGAGAUGCGAGCGAAACGAGAGAGCAAGAAAAAAAACUUAUAUAUUUAAUAAAAUACUAUGUAUAUCUUGAUACAUAUUUAUUAUUACUAUAUAUAUUAUAUACAUAACAUAUACAUUAAAAAAAAUAAAUUAAUAAAUAAAUACGGAGGAAACGUUUAUCAUCAUCAGUGUAAUCUGCAAUAGUAACGAUUAAUUAACUAUACAUAUAAACGUUUUAGAGAUUUGAAUAAAAACCUUCCUCUUCCGAUAAAUUCCAAACUGAAAAUCGUUACGUUUUUCAUUCGGAAAAAAAGUAAAUAAAUAUAAACAUCUGUGAUAUGUA